rnacentral:lncRNA from 1 species
UUUUACUGUAAUUUAUUCAAAAAAAUUUUAAAAUAUAUACAUGAAAUCGCCUAUGCAUUCCAACACCGACUUUCAGAAGUGGUUUAAGGUCAUGAAAUCUGAGAUGGAGUCCAUGGUGUCAAUAGUGUAUGGACACUAAUUAAUCCGCCCAAAGGGAUAAAACCCAUAAGGUGUAAGUGGAUUUUCAAAAGAAAAAGGGGA